GAUGAAGAACGUAGCGAAAUGCGAUAAGUAAUGUGAAUUGCAGAAUUCAGUGAAUCAUCGAAUCUUUGAACGCACAUUGCGCCCCCUGGUAUUCCGGGGGGCAUGCCUGUUCGAGCGUCAUUUCACCACUCAAGCCUUGCUUGGUAUUGGGCAACGCGGUCCGCCGCGUGCCUCAAAUCGACCGGCUGGGUCUUCUGUCCCCUAAGCGUUGUGGAAACUAUUCGCUAAAGGGUGUUCGGGAGGCUACGCCGUAAAACAACCCCAUUUCUAAGGUUGACCUCGGAUCAGGUAGGGAUACCCGCUGAACUUAAGCAUAUCAAUAAGCGGAGGA
rnacentral:misc_RNA from 1 species